UUGUUGUUUCUUGAGUAUUGUCCGUGAGAUAUUACACUAUUUUCCACUCUCAUUCCUUUAGUCCAAUGGUUAUAGCAUGGCUCACAAAAUAACCUCAAAUCCCCACCCAUUUUCUUUCUUUCAUAGUUUCAUUCAACCGUAGAUAACAUAGAGAAAGAAGGAAGUCAAGGAACCCUACCCAACAUUUUCUUUUGUUCUUCCAUUCAUCCAGCCAGCAAGCAAAGAAAGCAUAUUGUAUAUCCAAUGGUAUAUUUUCUCAUAGAGUUAGCUUUGAUACUACGCAACCGCAACAGUUGAACGAGCUUUCUCCGCUAUGAAUAUCAUCAAGAAUCGGAUGCGAAAUCGUAUGGGAGUUCCACUCAUCGAGGAGGUUGUGAAUUGUGAUUGAAGAAGAAAGAAAGAAACAUGAUGAGGAGAAAAAUGGUCCGGUUAUAGGUGUCUUUUUCCUCCAACAGCCAACGUUAAAGGUUAAGUUAAACUACCUUUGUCCUCUUCGAUCAUUAAUUAUCAUAACAAAAGCCUUAAUACUCAGGUCACUGUCCUCAAAAACAGUUGGUCGGGAAAAGGAAUCUGGAUCAAAUUCCUCAUCGGCAUCAGGAACAUGAUAAGUGUAAACAGAGUCACUUGUUCAGGAACCAUCCAACUAUGGUUGAUUUGCAAGUUUCUUAAAGAAAAAAGAAAUUUUCGACUUAUAGUUCACUGUCAAGGAUGCUUUUUUUUUAAUGUCAUUGUAUAUCUUCACACUCAUUUGCUACAGAGUUACCUUCUUGGCACGGCAUGUUUUUAGAUGUCUAAUAUGGCAAAGUUUACUUAACUCUUCAUGGGAAUACUUUCAAUUAUUUGACUGGAUUUUGAUAUAUCCAGUUCUGUUUGCUUUAAUCUGUUAUUUGUCUGAUACUGUACUGUUUGUAUAUGUUUGCUUGGUUAAAGAAGAGCCACAGCCCACAAGUUAUAAGUUAUCUUGUGAUGUGGGGAAGACAAGCAGGGAUGAUGACUUGUUUAGUGUGUCUUUAUGUUUACUUUGAUGGCUUGUGGUGUGGGGAAGACAUGCAGGGAUGCCUUGUUUAAUGUGUGUGUUUAUGUUAAC